UACACUAAGACUAUGAAAGGGAAGUUGAUUAAGAACUUAAUCUUUUCUUUCUAAAGUCUUAGCAUGAUUCUCUUUAGCUAAAUAACCUUUACUUUGUUUUGUAGGUUCUUAAUAAAGAGGAAACUGUGUACAUACAAAUAAGGGAGGCUACCAAGGAUGCAAAUCAAGAAAACCAAGAAGGAAGCAGGCGGCGCUCCAGCGCCCCCUAAAAGGGCGCCCAGGCACCAGAAACCCAAGAUCAUCUUCUUCACACGGAUUGCUGACAUGGUAGGCAGUACCUUGGCUUCCUAGUUUCCCAGACUGUGUAGCUUUCUUAGCAAGCUUCUUUUACACUUAGAAUAGCUUCCUUAGCAUGUUUUGGAGUCACUCCUUCAUCUAUAAAAGGAAGUCUCCUUACAUUGUAAAAGCUAACUUUGAAACUUAAUCAAAUGCUGUUGAGAUUUCUCCAGAAUCAUUUUUCAGAGUUCAAACACUUGUGCCUAUUCUGCACAC
rnacentral:lncRNA from 1 species